AAUCCAUAGGUUAAUGAGGCGAACCGGGGGAACUGAAACAUCUAAGUACCCCGAGGAAAAGAAAUCAACCGAGAUUCCCCCAGUAGCGGCGAGCGAACGGGGAGGAGCCCAGAGCCUGAAUCAGCAUGUGUGUUAGUGGAAGCGUCUGGAAAGGCGCGCGAUACAGGGUGACAGCCCCGUACACAAAAGCGCAUGUGCUGUGAGCUCGAUGAGUAGGGCGGGACACGUGGUAUCCUGUCUGAAUAUGGGGGGACCAUCCUCCAAGGCUAAAUACUCCUGACUGACCGAUAGUGAACCAGUACCGUGAGGGAAAGGCGAAAAGAACCCCGGCGAGGGGAGUGAAAAAGAACCUGAAACCGUGUACGUACAAGCAGUGGGAGCACCCUUUGGGUGUGACUGCGUACCUUUUGUAUAAUGGGUCAGCGACUUAUAUUCUGUAGCAAGGUU
rnacentral:rRNA from 2 species